GGGAAUCCGGUGAGAGUCCGGAACGGUCGCGCCACUGUGAACGCUGCCCAUAUCGACACCGUAGAUAUGUCGACGCGGUCGACGUGUCGACAUAUCGACGCGGUCGAUGGUGACGGGGUGACGUGAGUCAGGAUGCC
rnacentral:ncRNA from 2 species